GCCAACAUCCAUACCACGUUGAAAGUACCAGUUCUCGUCCGAUCACUGAAGUCAAGCAACACUGGGCACUGGGUUGGAUAGGUGACCGCUUGGGAAACUUCUGUGGAAUGGACA
rnacentral:rRNA from 1 species